rnacentral:rRNA from 1 species
UACGAAGGGAGCUAGCGUUGUUCGGAAUUACUGGGCGUAAAGCGUGCGCAGGCGGUUGUGUAAGACAGAUGUGAAAUCCCCGGGCUCAACCUGGGAACUGCAUUUGUGACUGCACGGCUGGAGUGCGGCAGAGGGGGAUGGAAUUCCGCGUGUAGCAGUGAAAUGCGUAGAUAUGCGGAGGAACACCGAUGGCGAAGGCAAUCCCCUGGGCCUGCACUGACGCUCAUGCACGAAAGCGUGGGGAGCAAACAGG